rnacentral:rRNA from 1 species
CUACGGGAGGCAGCAGUGGGGAAUAUUGCACAAUGGGGGGAACCCUGAUGCAGCAACGCCGCGUGGAGGAUGACGCAUUUCGGUGUGUAAACUCCUUUUAUAUGUCAAGAAAAUGACGGUAGCAUAUGAAUAAGCACCGGCUAACUCCGUGCCAGCAGCCGCGGUAUUACGGAGGGUGCAAGCGUUACUCGGAAUCACUGGGCGUAAAGGACGCGUAGGCGGGUUGGAAAGUCAGGUGUGAAAUCCUACAGCUUAACUGUAGAACUGCACUUGAAACUUCUAAUCUAGAGUAUGGGAGGGGGAGAUGGAAUUAGUGGUGUAGGGGUAAAAUCCGUAGAUAUCACUAGGAAUACCUAAAGCGAAGGCGAUCUCCUGGAACAUUACUGACGCUAAGGCGUGAAAGCGUGGGGAGCAAACAGGAUUAGAUACCCUUGUAGUC